rnacentral:rRNA from 1 species
UACAGAGGGUGCAAGCGUUGAUCGGAAUUACUGGGCGUAAAGCGCGCGUAGGCCGUCGAGUAAGUCGGAUGUGAAAUCCCCGGGCUUAACCUGGGAAUUGCAUUCGAUACUGCUUGGCUAGAGUGUGGAAGAGGGAAGCGGAAUUUCCGGUGUAGCGGUGAAAUGCGUAGAUAUCGGAAGGAACACCAGUGGCUAAGGCGGCUUCCUGGUCCAACAAUGACUCUGAGGCGCGAAAGCGCGGGGAGCGAACAGG